UACGUAGGGUGCGAGCGUUAAUCGGAAUUACUGGGCGUAAAGCGUGCGCAGGCGGUGCUGCAAGUCAGCUGUGAAAGCCCCGGGCUUAACCUGGGAAUUGCGCUUGAAACUAGGCUGCUUGAGUGUGGCAGAGGGGGGUGGAAUUCCACGUGUAGCAGUGAAAUGCGUAGAGAUGUGGAGGAACACCGAUGGCGAAGGCAGCCCCCUGGGUCAACACUGACGCUCAGGCACGAAAGCGUGGGGAGCAAACAGG
rnacentral:rRNA from 1 species